rfam:Biomphalaria glabrata isolate BB02 linkage group LG28i unlocalized genomic scaffold LG28i_random_Scaffold210, whole genome shotgun sequence.
UGUACAAAUGAUGAAAAUUAUGGGACGUAAUUCUGUUAACCUGAUGAUUCAUAUUCUGAUGUGC